CGGCCUAGAAAACGGAAUGGCAAAACAAGGGAUCUCCGUAUUAUGGCAGGUACGCUGUUUCUCCUUCCUUGUUGUUAUGGCUCACUUCAGUACGGGAGAUGUUAGUUACUCUGUUCCAGAGGAAAUGAAACGCGGUGCCGUGAUUGGAAGACUUGCACAGGAUCUGGGGCUCGAUCUUAAACAACUAUCUGCUCGGAAAGCUCGCUUAGAUUUUCAAGAAAGUAGACAGUAUUGUGAUAUCAGAAUGGAAACGGGUGAAUUAAUCGUGAAUGAAAGGAUAGAUAGGGAGGAGCUAUGCGGUCAAAAGCCUUCCUGUGCUAUUAUCUUUGAAUUAUUUCUUGAACACCCUUUGGAAUUGCAUCGUAUUGUGGUGGAAGUGCAAGAUAUCAAUGACAACGCACCAGCAUUUCCCAGUGAUUUUAUAAAACUGGAAAUAAGAGAAUCAGCAGACAGAGGAGCUCGCUUCUCAGUCGAUGAGGCCCACGACCCAGAUAUAGGAAUAAAUUCAGUGAAGAGCUACGCACUGGCCGCAAAUGACCAUUUUGUGUUGGCUGUACACACGAGCGCUGACAGAGGUAAAUACUGUGAGAUAGUAUUAGAAAACGAACUGGACCGCGAAAAGCAGGCAGAGGUUUCCUUAAUCCUGACUGCAUAUGAUGGAGGCACACCACAGCGCUCUGGUACUGCAGUUAUCCAAAUCACCGUGCUGGACGCCAAUGACAAUGUGCCCGUGUUUACACAGGCCGUCUAUAAAGUCAGUCUGGAUGAAAACGCUCCCUUGGAUACAGUUGUAGUCCAAGUAACUGCGAACGAUAAAGACGAGGGCGCAAAUGGGGAAGUAACAUAUGAAAUUAGCCACAUUUCAGGCAAAGAUAAAACUGUGUUUGGAAUAGAUCCGAUUAGCGGUGAAAUUAAGGUGAAAGGACCUUUAGAUUUUGAGGAAUCUUCCUUUUAUGAAAUCCGUAUCAAAGCCAAAGACGGAGCCGGACAGGCAGCUCAUUGCAAAGUUCUCGUGGAAGUUGGCGAUGUGAACGACAACGCUCCAGUAAUAAUGAUUAAAUCUCUGAACACACCUAUUGCUGAAAACUCUCCACCUGGUACAGAGGUAGCCAUCAUAAACAUUCAAGACAAGGACUCCGGGAGCAACAGCAAGACUCAAUGUUCCAUUCAGCAGAAUGUCCCUUUUAAAUUAAAGCCUUCAGUUAAAAAUUAUUUCUCUUUGUUAACUGAUGAGCAUCUGGACCGAGAGGCCGUUUCAGAAUACAACAUCACAAUUGUUGUCACUGACGAGGGUUCACCCCCCCUUUCAGCUUCUCAAAACCUACAAAUAACAAUUUCCGAUGUGAAUGACAAUCCUCCAGAAUUUGAUCGGCGAUCAUACAGCGCCUUUGUCAGUGAAAAUAACACUCCUGGUUCUUCAAUUUGUUCUGUUAUGGCAAAAGACAGCGACUGGAAACAAAACGGGACUGUCUCGUAUUUUUUGAUACCCGGCGAGCUGAAUGGACUGCCGAUAUCCUCGUUUGUAUCUAUUAACCGAGACACUGGGGUGAUACACGCUGUCAGAUCAUUUGAUUAUGAGCAGUUCAGAGACUUCAAUGUACAAGUUGAAGCCAAAGAUAAUGGUUCACCGCAGCUCAGCAGCAAUGUAUUUGUGACUGUUUUCAUUUCAGAUCAGAAUGACAAUUCUCCUCAGAUUUUAUAUCCCAGUCAGUCAGGAAACUCUUUUAUGACUGAAAUGGUACCUAGAUCUGCCCAAGCGAGAUCCCUGGUUUCCAAAGUAAUAGCCGUGGACGCCGACUCUGGACAAAACGCGUGGCUGUCAUAUCAGAUAGUGAAAUCGACUGACCCCGGACUUUUCAGCAUUGGUCUCAACAAUGGUGAAAUUAGGACACAGCGGGAUAUCUCUGAGUCUGAUAAAAUAAAGCAGAACGUUGUUGUGUUGGUGAAGGACAAUGGACAACCCCCUCAUUCGUCCACGUGUGUUAUGAAUUUAUUGAUUUCUGAUGACGUGUUAGACUUUAAUUCAGAACUGAAUAAUCUCAAUACCCACUCAGAGAAAAUGUCAAACACAACUACGUAUUUGAUUAUCGCUCUGGCUGCAGUUACAUCCCUUUUUUUUAUUUUCAUUACAAUUAUUCUGGCGGUCAGAUUUUGCCGGGGAGAGAAGCCCAGGAUGUUUCUUGACAGUGCAGUCGCCAUUCCCGGUGCGUUUUUCCCACCCAACUAUGCGGAAGUCGAGGGGUCUGGAACACUGCGUCAUUCUUACAACUAUGACGCCUUCUUAACAACGGGCUCUGCCACGAGCGACUUCAAAUUCGCCAGGACUUACAAUGAGAACACUUUACCGGUUGAGCAAACUUACAAAACAGGUGAAAAGAUACCGAAUGAACAGCAAUGUAAUUCUGGAAACCUAUCAGAAGAAUCGUCACAGACAACGCUUUGGAUCUCUUUCAACUGGAACAGAAUACAGGGAAAAUCACAGUGGCGGGAUCGUUAGAUUUUGAAAAGACGAAACAUUAUGAGAUUAAUGUCCAGGCAAAAGAUGACGGGGGACUCAUUGAUUCAAUGCGUUUUACCCACCCCGCUACGCAGAUGUUGGUGCAACAGGAACUCUACAGCACGUGUAUAAUUACG